UACAACAUAGUGUUAAUGCACCAGAUCCCAUUAGAACUCCGGAGUUAAGCACGCUCAUGCUAGAGUACUAUUGGUAUGGAUGACCGCUCGAGAAUUCCUAGUGUUUUAC
rnacentral:rRNA from 1 species